rnacentral:tRNA from 1 species
UUAAGAAUAAGCUAAAUUAAGCUAUUGGGCUCAUACCCCAAAUAUAAAGAUAUACUUUUUCUUAAA